rnacentral:rRNA from 1 species
GACGAACGCUGGCGGCGUGCUUAACACAUGCAAGUCGAACGGUAAGGCCCUUCGGGGUACACGAGUGGCGAACGGGUGAGUAACACGUGGGUGAUCUGCCCUGCACUUCGGGAUAAGCCUGGGAAACUGGGUCUAAUACCGGAUAGGACUCCUGGCUUCAUGGUUGGGGGUGGAAAGCUUUUGCGGUGUGGGAUGGGCCCGCGGCCUAUCAGCUUGUUGGGGGGGUAAUGGCCUACCAAGGCGACGACGGGUAGCCGGCCUGGGAGGGUGACCGGUCAGACUGGGACUGGGAUACGGCCCAGACUCCUACGGGAGGCAGCAGUGGGGAAUAUUGCACAAUGGGCGCAAGCCUGAUGCAGCGACGCCGCGUGAGGGAUGACGGCCUUCGGGUUGUAAACCUCUUUCAGCUAUGACGAAGCGCAAGUGACGGUAGUAGCAGAAGAAGGACCGGCCAACUACGUGCCAGCAGCCGCAGUAA